rnacentral:lncRNA from 1 species
UUGUUGGUUUUACUUUAUGUAAAAGUAUCGGAAUUUAUCCUCUUUGGGAAAAAUGUUGACAUGUGUUUUUUCCAGAAUUUCAUUCUGAGGAACAAUUAAAACCUAAGCAGGCUGACUGCAUUAGCUUUUUAAAGAAAUUUUAACUCCAUUUUAAUUUUGCAGACUUCACUCCUAGUGCCAUAUUAUGAAAAAGAAAGAGAUAGUGAAUUAUACUGAAUCUGCAUUCUCUGUGUAUAGAGGAUUACUUUAAUUGUAAUAUAUAUUGACAGUCCCAGGUAAAGAGAUAUGAUAAGGUACUCCAGAGAGCAAGUAUGUGAAACAUUCUUCCCUAUGAUCUAAUUCUGUAGAAAAUGGGACAUUCUCUUUUACUCACUGGAAAUAGCUAUUCUUCCAAAUAUGCACAUGACCUAAACUGAGUUACUAGAAAAUUAACCAUAGCAGAACUGUGUAUGUGAGUGAUGGAGAGGGGAGAAUGGGCUUCCCAGGUCUGAAGUUCAAUUAGAGAAAAGACACAUAAAUAUAUUAGACUCUAGAAAUGCUCAAGGUGGGCUCAGUUUAAUUCAGUGUAUCAAAUAUUUGUUAAAUUCCCAUUGAUUUUCAGACACUUUGAGCUGAAUCAGUCCUAUCUUUUAAUGAGUCUACUCAUUAAAAGUCAUAGUCAAUGCC